UUUUUUUUUCUGCACCAAUAUUGUGAUAUUUCAAUGUAAGGAUUAAGUUUUGCACUUUCCGGGUUUAUCAGGGAAUUUUUCUAGACUUCUUGGAAUUUGAGUCUUCCUGGAAUUCUGACGCUGAUAUAACAUUUAUGAUUAUAAAUGUGUUUUUUUGUGGUUAAAGUUUGUUUAACUUGGAAGGUAGCAACAUACAUCAUCACUACAUUUAUAAUGGAUUAACCCCAGGAUCAUCCUGACACCUAGACAUCGUCUACUGGGAGUAAAAAUAUUCAUUUGGUAUAUUUGUUGUAUACUGAGUGUGUUUUAUUAUAAACCAUGUUUCCUCAUCUGGAAGGUGAUUUUGACACCUGGACAUCAUCUACUGGAAGUAAAAAUAUUCUUUUGGUAUAUUUGUUGUAUACUGAGUGCGUUGCAUCAUAGACCAUGUCUCACCAUCCGGGUGGUGAUUUGGACACCUGGACAUCGUCUACUGGAAAUAAAAAUAUUCUUGUUACGUGACAACUUUCCCGAUUCGCAUUUGAAAUAAUAAUUUCAAAUGUAGAGUCGAGAAAGUUCUACACGUAUAAAGGUACAUCGAGACUCAAGGCCACAAAAGUAUCAAGUGGCUAAGAAUCUCGCUAACCUAAACAACUUCCCCGCCAACGGCUAGAGGCGCACGUGCGGAGCUACGUUGCAGUUUCGGCACGCAACUAGUUGCCAGGCCCCGUAAGGUCUAAUAAGUGCAAUAAGCGUCGACACUGUAACGCGGCUAAGGGGAAGUAAGCUGGCGACGGCGUGGGAGGUCCGGAACCUCUUCCGAGCGCUCUCGAACCACGCUGCUCUCGCACUCCGUGAUCGGGCACAGAAGCCGGCGGACCAAUAUAGUUUCGAAGUUAUACUCAGAAUUUCAUACAAAAAUUUAGAUUUGUUUUAAUUAGUUUCCAAUUCGCAGAUUCAAAUUAAUUAUUCAGGGAUAACAGAAUUUAUUUUUCAGAUUUUAAACGAGAAUUUUCUGUAAGCAUUGUAAACAGUUUCAUAAAGGGGAAAUACAGAUACAAUUGGACCAUAUAGUUUGUUCAAUAUAUAUACAUUAUCCAAAGUCACUCAUUCCCAAAAAUCCCAAGAUAACAAAAGAAAGGAAGGUCUAGGAAGGAUAGUUCGGAGAGAAAAAUCACAAGGCCGAAUAUGGAUACACAUGAAAGUGGAUACUAUGAAUUGGAAAGCGACAAGGAUUUGUCAAGUACAGCUUUCAAAAACUAAACAUUGUUUGCAGCUGUUAGAUUAUACGUUGGAAAAGGAGAGAUGACAGAACUACAUUGCACAACCGAGAAAAAACGUGGCCUAAGCCAAACAAACGUAGAAGCGAUGUAUUACAUGAACUGGCAAAGGCAGAGUCACUAAACCAACAGAACUUGGAAAGUAUAAAACACGAGAAGUCUGAGAUAAAGGAGAAAAAGGAAAAGGGUAAUGAAAAUACUGGAUCUUCCUCAGCAGUGUGGGCCGUUUCUCGAUCGUCGCUGGGGUCUUCGUUCACUUCCUCAAUCCGGCAUGCUGCUAUAUCUGAGGUUUAGAGAACCAUUGAAAUACAGCAUUUGGAUCAUUCCUCGCUAUG